rnacentral:rRNA from 4 species
GGGUUGUGAGGUUAAGCGACUAAGCGUACACGGUGGAUGCCCUGGCAGUCAGAGGCGAUGAAGGACGUGCUAAUCUGCGAUAAGCGCCGGUAAGGUGAUAUGAACCGUUAUAACCGGCGAUUUCCGAAUGGGGAAACCCAGUGUGACUCGUCACACUAUCAUUAACUGAAUCCAUAGGUUAAUGAGGCGAACCGGGGGAACUGAAACAUCUAAGUACCCCGAGGAAAAGAAAUCAACCGAGAUUCCCCCAGUAGCGGCGAGCGAACGGGGAGGAGCCCAGAGCCUGAAUCAGCAUGUGUGUUAGUGGAAGCGUCUGGAAAGGCGCGCGAUACAGGGUGACAGCCCCGUACACAAAAGCGCAUAUGCUGUGAGCUCGAUGAGUAGGGCGGGACACGUGGUAUCCUGUCUGAAUAUGGGGGGACCAUCCUCCAAGGCUAAAUACUCCUGACUGACCGAUAGUGAACCAGUACCGUGAGGGAAAGGCGAAAAGAACCCCGGCGAGGGGAGUGAAAAAGAACCUGAAACCGUGUACGUACAAGCAGUGGGAGCCUCUUUUAUGGGGUGACUGCGUACCUUUUGUAUAAUGGGUCAGCGACUUAUAUUCUGUAGCAAGGUUAACCG